rnacentral:misc_RNA from 1 species
UUUCCGUAGGUGAACCUGCGGAAGGAUCAUUACCACAAUUAUCCAUUUCCAUACCUGUGAACCGAUUUGAAAACCAUAUUAUCUGCAUUUUCCUUGUGAAGAUUGUAGAUAAUGCAACAGUUUUUUUCAUCACAACUUCUACAUUUUUGUUUUCAUAAAAGAAAUGUAUGUACAACUUUUAGCGAUGGAUGUCUAGGUUCUC